rnacentral:rRNA from 1 species
UACGGGGGGAGCAAGCGUUGUUCGGAUUUACUGGGCGUAAAGGGCGCGUAGGCGGCCUCCGCAAGUCAGUUGUGAAAUCUCCGAGCUUAACUCGGAAAGGUCAACUGAUACUGCGGGGCUAGAGUGCGGAAGGGGCAACUGGAAUUCUUGGUGUAGCGGUGAAAUGCGUAGAUAUCAAGAGGAACACCUGCGGCGAAGGCGGGUUGCUGGGCCGACACUGACGCUGAGACACGAAAGCGUGGGUAGCAAACAGG